rnacentral:rRNA from 1 species
CACAUGCAAGUCGAACGGUAAGGCCCUUCGGGGUACACGAGUGGCGAACGGGUGAGUAACACGUGGGUGAUCUGCCCUGCACUUCGGGAUAAGCCUGGGAAACUGGGUCUAAUACCGGAUAGGACUCCUGGCUUCAUGGUUGGGGGUGUAAAGCUUUUGCGGUGUGGGAUGGGCCCGCGGCCUAUCAGCUUGUUGGUGGGGUAAUGGCCUACCAAGGCGACGACGGGUAGCCGGCCUGAGAGGGUGACCGGCCACACUGGGACUGAGAUACGGCCCAGACUCCUACGGGAGGCAGCAGUGGGGAAUAUUGCACAAUGGGCGCAAGCCUGAUGCAGCGACGCCGCGUGAGGGAUGACGGCCUUCGGGUUGUAAACCUCUUUCAAUAGGGACGAAGCGCAAGUGACGGUACCUAUAGAAGAAGGACCGGCCAACUACGUG